rnacentral:rRNA from 1 species
UACGUAGGAUCCAAGCGUUGUCCGGAUUUACUGGGUGUAAAGGGUGCGCAGGCGGGCUUGUUAGUCAGAGGUGAAAUCUCACUGCUCAACAGUGAAACUGCCUUUGAUACUGCAGGUCUUGAAUCCAGAAGAGAGUUGUGGGAAAUUUCCGAGUGUAGCAGUGAAAAAUGUGUAGAUAUUCGGAAAGAACACCCAGCGGCGAAAGGCAAGCA